UGAACGCUGGCGGUAUGCUUAACACAUGCAAGUCGAACGGAAACGAUACUAGCUUGCUAGUAGGCGUCGAGUGGCGGACGGGUGAGUAACGCGUAGGAAUCUGCCUGAUAGUGGGGGAUAGCCCGAAGAAAUUCGGAUUAAUACCGCAUAAUCUAUUCGUAGUAAAGUGGGGGACUUUCGAGCCUCACGCUAUCAGAUGAGCCUGCGUAAGAUUAGCUUGUUGGUAGGGUAAAAGCCUACCAAGGCGACGAUCUUUAGCUGGUCUGAGAGGAUGAUCAGCCACAUCGGGACUGAGACACGGCCCGAACUCCUACGGGAGGCAGCAGUGGGGAAUAUUGGACAAUGGGGGCAACCCUGAUCCAGCAAUACCGCGUGUGUGAAGAAGGCCUGAGGGUUGUAAAGCACUUUCAAUUGUGAAGAAAAGUUAGCGGUUAAUAACCGUUAGCCUUGACGUUAACUUUAGAAGAAGCACCGGCUAACUCCGUGCCAGCAGCCGCGGUAAUACGGAGGGUGCAAGCGUUAAUCGGAAUUACUGGGCGUAAAGCGUGCGUAGGCGGUUUAUUAAGUCAGAUGUGAAAGCCCCGGGCUUAACCUGGGAACUGCAUUUGAAACUGGUCAACUAGAGUAUGGUAGAGGAAAGUGGAAUUUCUGGUGUAGCGGUGAAAUGCGUAGAUAUCAGAAGGAACAUCAAUGGCGAAAGGCAGCUUUCUGGACCAAUACUGACGCUGAGGUACGAAAGCGUGGGUAGCAAACAGGAUUAGAUACCCUGGUAGUCCACGCCGUAAACGAUGAUAACUAGCCGUUGGGGGGAUUUACCCUUUAGUGGCGAAGCUAACGCGUUAAGUUAUCCGCCUGGGGAGUACGGCCGCAAGGUUAAAACUCAAAGGAAUUGACGGGGACCCGCACAAGCGGUGGAGCAUGUGGUUUAAUUCGAUGCAACGCGAAGAACCUUACCUGGUCUUGACAUCCUGCGAACUUUCUAGAAAUAGAUUGGUGCCUUCGGGAACGCAGUGACAGGUGCUGCAUGGCUGUCGUCAGCUCGUGUCGUGAGAUGUUGGGUUAAGUCCCGUAACGAGCGCAACCCCUAUCCUUAUUUGCCAGCACGUCAUGGUGGGAACUAUAAGGAGACUGCCGGUGAUAAACCGGAGGAAGGCGGGGACGACGUCAAGUCAUCAUGGCCCUUACGACCAGGGCUACACACGUGCUACAAUGGGAAGGACAAAGAGCCGCGAAGCCGCGAGGUGUAGCUAAUCUCAUAAACCUUUUCGUAGUCCGGAUUGGAGUCUGCAACUCGACUCCAUGAAGUCGGAAUCGCUAGUAAUCGUAGAUCAGAAUGCUACGGUGAAUACGUUCCCGGGUCUUGUACACACCGCC
rnacentral:rRNA from 1 species